AUUGAACGCUGGCGGCAGGCCUAACACAUGCAAGUCGAGCGAAUGAGGGAAGCUUGCUUCCCGAUUUAGCGGCGGACGGGUGAGUAAUGCCUAGGAAUCUGCCUAUUAGUUGGGGAUAACGUUCCGAAAGGAACGCUAAUACCGCAUACGUCCUACGGGAGAAAGCAGGGGACCUUCGGGCCUUGCGCUACCAGAUGAGCCUAGGUAGGAUUAGCUAGUUGGUGAGGUAAUGGCUCACCAAGGCGACGAUCCGUAACUGGUCUGAGAGGAUGAUCAGUCACACUGGAACUGAGACACGGUCCAGACUCCUACGGGAGGCAGCAGUGGGGAAUAUUGGACAAUGGGCGAAAGCCUGAUCCAGCCAUGCCGCGUGUGUGAAGAAGGUCUUCGGAUUGUAAAGCACUUUAAGUUGGGAGGAAGGGCAGUAAGCUAAUACCUUGCUGUUUUGACGUUACCGACAGAAUAAGCACCGGCUAACUCUGUGCCAGCCGCCGCAGUAAUAC
rnacentral:rRNA from 1 species